rnacentral:rRNA from 1 species
CCUACGGGUGGCAGCAGUGGGGGAUAUUGCACAAUGGGGGAAACCCUGAUCCAGCGACGCCGCGUGAGUGAAUAAGUAUUUCGGUAUGUAAAGCUCUAUCUGCCGGGAAGCAAAAAGACGGUACCUGACUAAGAAGCCCCGGCCCACUACGGGCCCGCAGCCCCGGUAAUAAGUAGGGGGCAAGCGUUAUCCGGAUUUACUGGGCGUAAAGGGAGUGUAGACGGCACUACAAGUCCGGAGUGAAAUACCCGGGCUCAAACUGGGAACUGCGUUGGAAACUGAAUGGCUGGAGUGCAGGAGAGGUAAGCGGAAUGCCUGGUGUAGCGGUGAAAUGCGUAGAUAUUAGGAAGAACACCAGUGGCGAAGGCAGCUUACUGGAGAGUAACUGACGUUGAGGCUCGAAAGCGUGGGGAGCAAACAGGAUUAGAUACCCCAGUAGUC